GCGGUUUAAUUGGACUCAACGCCGGAAAACUCACCAGGGGCGACCGCCGGAUGAGGCCCAGCUUGACGGGCUUGGCCGAUAGGUGGAGAGGUGGUGCAUGGCCGCCGUCAGUUCGUACCGUAAGGCGUUCUCUUAAGUGAGAUAACGAACGAGACCCUCGCCCUUAAUUGCUACCGUUCCCUCUGGGGGACGGGCACAUUAGGGGGACCGCCACUGCUAAAGCGGAGGAAGGCGGGGUCAACGGUAGGUCAGUAUGCCCCGAAUCCCCUGGGCUACACGCGCGCUACAAAGGAUGGGACAAUGGGUUCCUACACCGAAAGGUGACGGUAAUCCCGAAACCCAUUCGUAGUUCGGAUUGAGGGCUGUAACUCGCCCUCAUGAAGCUGGAUUCCGUAGUAAUCGUGGGUCAACAUCCCACGGUGAAUAUGCCCCUGCUCCUUGCACACACCGCCCGUC
rnacentral:rRNA from 1 species